rnacentral:rRNA from 1 species
CGCACCCCAGCGGCCCUUUGUGACUUAUACCUUACUGUUGCCUCGGCGCAUGCCGGCCCCAGGGGCCCCUCGAAGACGAGGACAGGCUCGGCCCUUAUAAAAUUGUGUGAACUGACAUCUGAGAAGAAAAAACAAAUGAAUCAAACUUUCACCAACGGAUCUCUUGGUUGUGGCAUCGAUGAAGAACGCAGCGAAAUGCGAUAAGUAAUGUGAAUUGCAGAAUUCAGUGAAUCAUCGAAACUUUGAACGCCAUUGCGCCCUCCGGAUUCCGGAGGGUAUGCCUGUUCAGCGGCAUUUCAACCCUCAAGCACUGCUUGGGGUUGGGGCCUGAUUCUCUCCCCGGAAGUAGGCCCAGAAAUUCAAUGGCGAGCUCGCCAGGACCCCAAGCGCAAUAAUUAAACCCUCGCUCUGGAAGGCCCUGGCGGUGCCCUGCCGUUAAACCCCCAACUCUUGAAAAUUUGACCUCGGAUCAGGUAGGAAUACCCGCUGAACUUAAGCAUAUCAAUAAGCCGGGAA